CAGUAGCCGCGGUAAUACGUAGGGUCCGAGCGUUGUCCGGAAUUAUUGGGCGUAAAGAGCUCGUAGGCGGUCUGUCGCGUCUGCCGUGAAAUCCUCAGGCUCAACCUGAGGCGUGCGGUGGGUACGGGCAGGCUAGAGUGCGGUAGGGGAGAAUGGAACUCCUGGUGUAGCGGUGGAAUGCGCAGAUAUCAGGAAGAACACCGAUGGCGAAGGCAGUUCUCUGGGCCGUAACUGACGCUGAGGAGCGAAAGCGUGGGGAGCGAACAGGAUUAGAUACCCGAGUAGUCCCUGUCUCUUAUAC
rnacentral:rRNA from 1 species